CGCUCUUCCGAUCUGAAAAAUAGGAAUUUGAAAGCGUAAUCGAGUAAUCAAAUAGUACCACCACAAAAGGGACACUCAAUGAUUAGUGACUUUUGUAUA